rnacentral:rRNA from 1 species
CCUACGGGUGGCUGCAGUGGGGAAUCUUGCACAAUGGGGGAAACCCUGAUGCAGCGACGCCGCGUGAGCGAUGAAGCCCUUCGGGGUGUAAAGCUCUUUCGGCAGGAACGAUAAUGACGGUACCUGCAGAAGAAGCUGCGGCUAACUACGUGCCAGCAGCCGCGGUAAUACGUAGGCAGCAAGCGUUGUUCGGAAUUACUGGGCGUAAAGAGUGUGUAGGUGGUGUCGUAAGUUUGGUGUGAAAUCUCCCGGCUUAACUGGGAGGGUGCGCCGAAGACUGCGAUGCUUGAGUAUGGGAGAGGAAAGCGGAAUUCCUGGUGUAGCGGUGAAAUGCGUAGAUAUCAGGAGGAACACCUGCGGUGUAGACGGCUUUCUGGACCAUUACUGACACUGAGACACGAAAGCGUGGGUAGCAAACAGGAUUAGAUACCCCGGUAGUC